GAGGCAGGCAGAUCAUGAGGUCAGGAGUUCGAGACGAGCCUGACCAACAUGGUGAAACCCUGUCUCUACUAAAAAUACAAAAAUUAGCCGCUUGUGGUGGUAUGCACCUGUAAUCCCAGCUACUCAGGAGGCUGAGGCAGGACAAUUCCUUGAACCCGGGAGGUGGAGGUUGCAGUAAGCCAAGAUCGCACCAUUGCACUCCAUCCUGGGUAACAGAAUGGAAUGAGACUCUGUCUCAAAAACAAACAAACAACAAAAAAAAAGCCCUAGAUUUCGGUUGUGUUACUUGUAAAAGGAGAGACAAAGUAAGUGGGGGUUGAAAUCAGAUUAAACCAAAAACGAAUGGCAGAGAGUACUAUAAUGUCCAUGAAGGGUUGCUAGAGUCACCGUGAUCACAGCCCAGCAGAGACAGGGAAAGGAAGAUGUGAGCAGCGUUUGGGGCCUCAAACAGUGGGGGUUAUUCGUGCAGCCCAGGAAAGGCUCCCCAAAGCCAGGAUCAACCUCCCUUGCAGGCCAGUCCCUCAUGGAGGCAUGGCCAGGCACCUUAGAUUUGAGACCAACUGUGUUGCUGCUGACCAGCUGUGUGACCCUGGGAUGGUUUCCUUCCAUACAAUGGGAGUGCCAAUGGCUGCAUGCAUGCAAAGACUGUCUGAGGAUAGGAGGAAGCAAUCUGUUGAGCACCCGUGUACCUGAGUGUCAUCCCUCCCAAGGGCAUCUUUCGUUCCAGAGCUGGCACCUUGGAAGGCCCUUGGCCACUAAAGGCAGUGACGAUGGUAACAGCAGUAAAUCAUCAUUUAUGGCUGAUGAGGGAAGGCCAGGGGGUAGGGCUCCUGGGUCCUGGAUAAGAAUGAGGGUCUGGGCACUACUGGGGACAGCUGAGUGGUAGGAUUCCUGGGUCCUCAGGGGGAAGGUCCAUCUUCAGUGGCAUUGGGCCUAGGCUGGGAUGCUGAGUUCGCCACUGGAGCAUCAGCAGUACAGGCAGGCACAGAGGCAGCGGAUCCAUCAGAGGUGGCAGGUGUAGGAUCCUCUGGUGAGCAAGUAGAGUCACCAAGCCUGGCUGACCACUACCCCCACAGACGAUGCCCUGUCCCUUGCCUCAUGCUCCGGCAGGGUACAGGCUCGCACCUGGGGCCUCAUGGAGCAUCUCUCUAAAACCUCCUGGUCAUCGAAUGGGCACUUGAGUCACCCAGGGCCACUGGAACAAAGAGGAAGAAUCAGGCCCCACGAUGUUUUGGGAGAGUGUUUAGCACAAGAAAAUGCACAGAAUACAUGGAUGACAUGGGGGCACUGUCGGUGUGGGGGCAAUAGUUUACAACCUCCAGCCCUAAUCUGAGCACUCUCACCUGUGCAAUCUGAAAGGAACAGGAGACUUGCCGGAAAGAUAGUGCCUGGAUUUAACUUAAAGGAACUGAAAUGUUGGAAUUUUCACUCUUGAUAUCCUUCCAGAUCAACUCUGUCAAUGCUCCCAUCCUCAAAACUAUCAUAUGGGGUAACUGAGGCAGAGAUUUACUGACUCAAUGUCACUCGGUUGAUUCUGAGUUCACUGCUGAUUACAUCUGACCAAACUGCUUUUUCUGAAGUCUACUCCGUUUAAUCAUGCUGGUGAUGAUUUUGUGCAGCUCUGGGACAAACUCCACCUGGCUGAGGAUAAAGCAAAUCCACGGUGACUUAGUCCUGCUGUCAUUUCCCAUCCGCUCCCCACUCUCCUCCUCUGCCCCUCCACAGUCUCCCAUGCAGGCUGACACCAUACGACGGCCUUAAUGGAGUCCACCGAGUAUUUCAGGUUCUCUCCUGGGCCACUUGAAAGUGGAUGUACCCAUGGGAUUUGCUUUGACCCAGGAGAUGUGAGUGGAAGUGAAGUGUGUCAACUCUUUUGUGUCAACAAAAGAGUUGGGAGCCAUUGAGACCGGCCACCCUCUCCCCUUCAUCUCUUAGAGCAGCUGACAGCUCCCAUAUGGAGGCUGCUCCUUUAUUCUUGUGGCAGGUUGAGGGGAUGUGGGGCACAGGGCACAGGAGAGCCAUGGAGGACGUGCAGCACGGGCAGCAAAAGAGCCUUCAGUGUUGUAGAUUUCCAUUGUUUGGGGCUGUUUGUUCCCUACAGUGAUACCUAGCCCAUCCUAGCAGGCAUGCACCAUCUACUCCACACUCUGUGAAGCAGACUAGCCUGCCAUGAGAACAUGAACUGGUGGUCAGACAUACGUAGGUUUCAGUUCCAGCUCUGCCUCUUAUUGACUGCAACCUCAGGCUUAACUUUCAGUCGCUGAGCCUCAGUUUCAACUCUGCAAAAUGGGGUGGCUAUACCAUCUCAGGUUGCAGACAGAAUUAAAUGAAAUAUAAAUGCACGUAGAGCAUUGAACCCAGGGCCUGACACACACAGUUACCGUGCCAGCAAUGAUUCCUUUUGAGUUUCUGACAGAAGAUAGUGGUUUUCAUCCAAAUAAGUCAACUACUCUACCUCAUCCCUAAGCCACUUGUAUGGAAGGAAAGAGAGGAAGAAGCCAGUACUGUGACUGUGUAAGCUUCCCCCAGCAUCACCCGCUAUGAGAUGUGUGGCAGCUGAGACCCGGGAACUGCACAAGGGCACCUGGCCCCAUCUGUCUGCACUCACUCACCUUCCUCAGCCCAUGGAGAAGAACUUUAACACAGUCAAUGAAAUUUCUACACAACAAUGUUCUUGUCUCAAGUCCAAGAAUGGCUCCUACACCUCCUAUAAUGCUGGCUUUCUGAUCCAUGUUCCUGGGAAGACAAUCAAAGCUUCAGGUGCAUUUGGCUACCUCAUGGGCCGUUUGAACAUUUCAGUUGUCAAUUGUCAUUUUCAAUGCAUGUUUUCUGGUUGCUUUCCCAUGCAAGAGGGCUGACAUCACAACAGUAGAUCAUUAUGGUACAGUGUAUUUUCACUAGGUACAGAAAGCUUUUUAUGGCUCACUGACUGGGGACAGUCAAUUCCUUCACAAUCUAGAACCUGAAGAUUGGAUCUUCUGAGAACAUCAGAGAAAGAAUGUCCUUGGAAUCCACACUACAGCAAAACUUCAGAACUUUGAACUUUGGGUUCAUAAUCUCACAAGAGGGAAGUUUUUUGCUGGAAGAAGAUGGCAUCCUUGAUGUGAACAGCUUUUCCCAAGAUCACAGAUCAAGACUUCUCGUUUUUUUUUUUUGGUUUUUUUUUUGAGACAGUCUCGGUCUUGUCGCUCAGGUUGGAGUGGAAUAGCACGAUCUUGGCUCACUGCAACCUCCACCUCCUGGGUUCAAGUAAUUCUCCUGACUCAGCCUCCCGAGUAGCUGGGAUUACAGGCGCCCACCACCAUGCCUGGCUAAUUUUUUUGUAUUUUUAGUGGAGACAGGGUUUCACCAUGUUGGCCAGGCUGGUCUCAAACUCCUGACCUCAGGUGAUCCGCCUACCUUGGCCUCCCAAAGCGCUGGGAUUACAGGCAUGAGUCACCGUGCCCGGCCUUGUGAUAGUGUCUUACUCUGUCACCCAGGCUGGAGUGCAGUGGUGCAAUCUUGGCUCACUGCAACCUUUGCCUCCCAGAUUCAAGCGAUUCUUGUACCUCAGCCUCCCCUGCCACUGAGACUACAGACACGUGCCACCAUGCCUGGUUAAUUUUGUGUGUGUGUGUGUUAUGGAGUUUUGCUCUUGUUGCCCAGGCUGGAGUGCAGUGGUACGAUCUUCGCUCACUGCAACGUCUGUCUCCCGGGUUCAAGCGAUUCUCCUGCCUCGGGCUCCUGAGUAGUUGGGAUUAUAGGUGCCCAACACCAUACCCGGUUAAUUUUUUGUAUUUUUAGUGGAGACAGGGUUUCAUCAUGCUGGCCAGGCUGGUCUCUAACUCCUGACCUCAGGUGAUCCACCCGCCUCGUUGUUCCAAAGUGCUAGGAUUACAGGUGUGAGCCCUGUGCCCAGCCUCCGUGUGUCUCUCUCUCUCUCUCUCUCUUUCUCUCUGUCGACUAGAGAGACUCACCGGGGACAAUCAACUCUCUCCAGAUUGACACACAGAGAGAGAGAGAGACAGAGGGCAAGUGAGAAAGAGACAGAGUCUGGCUCUCACCCAGGCUGGGGUGCAGUGGUGUGAUCUUGGUUCACUGCAACCUCCACGUUCCCUGUUCAAGCGAUUCCUGUGCCUCAGCCUCCCAAGUAGCUGGGAUUAUAGGUCCGCACCACCACGCCUGGCUAAUUUUUGUAUUUUUAGUAGAGACGGCUUUGCCAUGUUGGCCAGGCUGGUUUUGAACUCCUGACCUCAAGUCAUCCGCCAGCCUCGGCCUUCCGAAGUGCUGGGAUUACAGGCGUGAGUCACCGUGCCCGGCCAAAUAAAAUAAAAUGUUAAACUCAGGACUACCCCUCCUCCAAGU